GACGAACGCUGGCGGCGUGCUUAACACAUGCAAGUCGAACGGAAAGGCCCUGCUUUUGUGGGGUGCUCGAGUGGCGAACGGGUGAGUAACACGUGAGUAACCUGCCCUUGACUUUGGGAUAACUUCAGGAAACUGGGGCUAAUACCGGAUAGGAGCUCCUGCUGCAUGGUGGGGGUUGGAAAGUUUCGGCGGUUGGGGAUGGACUCGCGGCUUAUCAGCUUGUUGGUGGGGUAGUGGCUUACCAAGGCUUUGACGGGUAGCCGGCCUGAGAGGGGGACCGGCCACAAUGGGACUGCGGUAGGGCCCAGUCUCCUACGGGAGGCAGCAGUGGGGAAUAUUGCACAAUGGGCGGGAGCCUGAGACAGCAACGCCGCGUGCGGGAUGACGGCCUUCGGGUUGUAAACCGCUUUCGCCUGUGACGAAGCGGGAGUGACGGUAAUGAGUAAAGAAGCACCGGCUAACUACGUG
rnacentral:rRNA from 1 species